rnacentral:sRNA from 1 species
UGGUGAAUAGAUGAUGACAUAAUCAUCUC